rnacentral:rRNA from 1 species
AUGAGGCCUUUUGGUGAAGCCAAGUCAAUUUCGAGCCACCAAACCCUGCAACUGAGGAAAAGUCCCUAUGGAGUAAAGGGAAGCGUGUACGUUGUCACUCUCCCCGCCCUCCAAAGGUGCCUAGAGGACGGGCCAGACGCAGCAGAGCGACGCCCCAGGAGCGGAUUACCCACGAGCAGGGGGACAGGAGACAGCCAUCUCGAGGCACAUCACGACCUACAGGCAACACCGACGGGACCUAGGAAGGUAACCCGAUUGGGAGUCAGAGGAUCCAUAGUACCCGCAGCCUUCCGGACUUCAUAUUCAUCAUUUUCUAAAGAAAGGGUAAGGGAUCUCUUUUCUGCAACGGAAAAAAAUAAGCUCCGCUGA